GGCACUUUGGCGGAGUGGUUAACGCGAUGGCCUGCUAUGAGUUUACUCAAGCUGUUCAGCCAUUUCCUUCGGGAGCGUGUGUUCGAAUCACACAGGUGUCG
rnacentral:tRNA from 1 species